UUACCCAAAACUUGUUCUGGUCCGGGCGGGUAUCCGUCCGGUUAAAAUGGGAAUCCGGUGCGUGACCGCAAGGUGACAAAUCCGGGACUGCCCCCGCAACUGUAAGCGGUGAGCGACGCCGAAACACGUCACUGGGGAGCGAACCCUGGGAAGACUCGGCCAAGCUUUGACCCGCGAGUCAGGAGACCUGCCAGAAUGAUCACCCUAUC
rnacentral:ncRNA from 2 species